rnacentral:rRNA from 1 species
UACGUAGGCAGCAAGCGUUGUUCGGAGUUACUGGGCGUAAAGGGCGUGUAGGCGGUCUCGUAAGUCUGGUGUGAAAUCUCCCGGCUCAACUGGGAGGGUGCGCCGGAAACUGCGAGGCUAGAGUGUGGGAUGGGAGAGUGGAAUUCCUGGUGUAGCGGUGAAAUGCGUAGAUAUCAGGAGGAACACCUGCGGUGUAGACGGCUCUCUGGACCACUACUGACGCUGAAACACGAAAGCGUAGGGAGCGAACAGG